rnacentral:rRNA from 1 species
UAGGGAAUCUUCCACAAUGGACGCAAGUCUGAUGGAGCAACGCCGCGUGAGUGAAGAAGGUCUUCGGAUCGUAAAACUCUGUUGUUAGAGAAGAACACGAGUGAGAGUAACUGUUCAUUCGAUGACGGUAUCUAACCAGCAAGUCACGGCUAGCUACGUGCCAG